GACGAACGCUGGCGGCGUGCUUAACACAUGCAAGUCGAACGGAAAGGCCCUGCUUUUGUGGGGUGCUCGAGUGGCGAACGGGUGAGUAACACGUGAGUAACCUGCCCUUGACUUUGGGAUAACUUCAGGAAACUGGGGCUAAUACCGGCUAGGAGCUCCUGCUGCAUGGUGGGGGUUGGAAAGUUUCGGCGGUUGGGGAUGGACUCGCGGCUUAUCAGCUUGUUGGUGGGGUAGUGGCUUACCAAGGCUUUGACGGGUAGCCGGCCUGAGAGGGUGACCGGCCACAUUGGGACUGAGAUACGGCCCAGACUCCUACGGGAGGCAGCAGUGGGGAAUAUUGCACAAUGGGCUGAAGCCUGAUGCAGCAACGCCGCGUGCGGGAUGACGGCCUUCGGGUUGUAAACCGCUUUCGCCUGUGACGAAGCGUGAGUGACGGUAAUGGGUAAAGAAGCACCGGCUAACUACGUG
rnacentral:rRNA from 1 species